GUGGGGAAUCUUAGACAAUGGGCGCAAGCCUGAUCUAGCCAUGCCGCGUGAGCGAUGAAGGCCUUAGGGUUGUAAAGCUCUUUCGUGGGGGAAGAUAAUGACUGUACCCCAAGAAGAAGCCCCGGCUAACUCCGUGCCAGCAGCCGCGGUAAUACGGAGGGGGCUAGCGUUGUUCGGAAUUACUGGGCGUAAAGCGCACGUAGGCGGACCGGAAAGUCAGAGGUGAAAUCCCAGGGCUCAACCUUGGAACUGCCUUUGAAACUCCUGGUCUUGAGGUCGAGAGAGGUGAGUGGAAUUCCGAGUGUAGAGGUGAAAUUCGGAGAUAUUCGGAGGAACACCAGUGGCGAAGGCAGCUCACUGGAUCGAUACUGACGCUGAGGUGCGAAAGCGUGGGGAGCAAACAGGAUUAGAAACCCUAGUAGUCC
rnacentral:rRNA from 1 species